rnacentral:tRNA from 1 species
GUUUAAGUAGCAAAGAAGAAAUGCAGUAGGUUUAGGUCCUUCUACCAAGGGUGCAAGUCCUUUCUUAAACU